GCGGGAAUAGCUCAGUUGGUAGAGCACGACCUUGCCAAGGUCGGGGUCGCGAGUUCGCAGUUUUGUCACUUUCU
rnacentral:tRNA from 1 species